CCCUUAGAUGUUCUGGGCCGCACGCGUGCUACACUGACCGGCGCAACAAGUUUCUUUCCUUGGCUCGAUAGGCCUGGGUAAUCUUUGAACGCCGGUCGUGAUGGGGAUAGAUCCUUGCAAUUUUUGAUCUUCAACGAGGAAUUCCUAGUAAAUGCGAGUCAUCAUCUCGCGUUGAUUACGUCCCUGCCCUUUGUACACACCGCCCGUCGCACCUACCGAUUGAAUGGUCCGGUGAAGCCUCGGGGUUGCGAAUGCUUCGUGCGGACGCGAGAACUUGGCUAAACCUUACCAUUUAGAGGAAGGUGAAGUCGUAACA
rnacentral:rRNA from 1 species